rnacentral:rRNA from 1 species
CCUACGUGAGGCAGCAGUGAGGAAUAUUGGUCAAUGGCCGGAAGGCUGAACCAGCCAUGCCGCGUGAAGGUCAGUGCCCUAUGGGCGUUAAACUUCUUUUGUGCGGGAGCAAUAAUGGUCACGUGUGGCCAGACGAGAGUACCGUACGAAUAAGCAUCGGCUAACUCCGUGCCAGCAGCCGCGGUAAUACGGGGGAUGCAAGCGUUAGCCGGAUUUAUUGGGUUUAAAGGGUGCGUAGGCGGUGGGGUAAGUCAGCGGUGAAAUGCCCCCGCUCAACGGGGUCAAGUGCCAUUGAUACUGCCUUGCUGGAAUGCGGAUGCCGUGGGAGGAAUGUGUGGUGUAGCGGUGAAAUGCAUAGAUAUCACACAGAACACCGAUUGCGAAGGCAUCUCACGAAUCCGCGAUUGACGCUGAUGCACGAAAGCGUGGGUAUCAAACAGGAUUAGAUACCCCAGUAGUC